rnacentral:lncRNA from 1 species
GGAAGCAUAGUCUUUGAGGUCUUUCGGAUGGCAAUAUUUGUCACGCAAUAAGUGGGGCAUUUGAACGCACCUAGGCCUAGCCUAUCUAUAGAUAGGGGUUCUGCCACUUGGGGUUGGUAUUGCCUAGGUCAUCUUCCAUAAUAUCGUGGUGGUGCCGCCUUGUCUAGUGUUGACGCUCUUUUCCCUCUUAGGAGAUCUCUUUUCUUUUUUUUCGAUCAGUUGUAGGAUGCUUUCGGAGAGCACUUCAGUAGGCGUCCCACUUUGGUAUGGGA